rfam:Candidatus Woesebacteria bacterium RBG_13_36_22 RBG_13_scaffold_161, whole genome shotgun sequence.
GGUGGGGUGGCCGAGUGGUUCAAGGCGAAGGUUCGCUAAACCUUUGUUCCGUAAUAGGGACGCGCAGGUUCGAAUCCUGUCCCCACCG